CCAAUAGCGUAUAUUAAAGUUGUUGCAGUUAAAAAGCUCGUAGUUGAACUUCGGGGUCUACCCAUUGGUCAGGCUUAAUUGUCUGCACUGGUGAGAUGGAUCUCUACCUUCUGAGGAACUUUCAUGCCAUUUAUUUGGUGUGAUGGGAAAUCAGGACUGUUACUUUGAAAAAAUUGGAGUGUUUAAAGCAGACUAUCGUCUGAAUACAUUAGCAUGGAAUAAUGAAAUAGGACGGACUGAUUCUAUUUCGUUGGUUUCUAGGAUCACCGUAAUGAUUAAUAGGGAUAGUUGGGGGCAUUAGUAUUCAAUUGUCAGAGGUGAAAUUCUUGGAUUUAUUGAAGACUAACUACUGCGAAAGCAUUUGCCAAGGAUGUUUUCAUUAAUCAAGAACGAAAGUUAGGGGAUCGAAGACGAUCAGAUACCGUCGUAGUCUUAACCAUAAACUAUGCCGACUAGGGAUCGGACGAAGUUAAUUUUAUAAUGACGCGUUCGGCACCUUACG
rnacentral:rRNA from 1 species